rnacentral:rRNA from 1 species
GAGUUUGAUCUUGGCUCAGGAUGAACGCUGGCGGCGUGCCUAACACAUGCAAGUCGAACGGAUCCAUAUUGAAACCUAGUGAUGUAUGGAUUAGUGGCGGACGGGUGAGUAACGCGUGGAUAACCUGCCGUAUACAGGGGAUAACACUUAGAAAUAGGUGCUAAUACCGCAUAAGCGCACGGUUCCGCAUGGAACAGUGUGAAAAACUCCGGUGGUAUACGAUGGAUCCGCGUCUGAUUAGCCAGUUGGCGGGGUAACGGCCCACCAAAGCGACGAUCAGUAGCCGGCCUGAGAGGGUGAACGGCCACAUUGGGACUGAGACACGGCCCAAACUCCUACGGGAGGCAGCAGUGGGGAAUAUUGCACAAUGGGGGAAACCCUGAUGCAGCGACGCCGCGUGAGUGAAGAAGUAUUUCGGUACGUAAAGCUCUAUCAGCAGGGAAGAAAAAAAGUCCUUUGGACUUUGGACGGUACCUGACCAAGAAGCCCCGGCUAACUACGUGCCAGCAGCCGCCGUAAU